ACAGAGUAAGUUUCUUGAAUCUGAGCCUGCCUGAGUUCAUUCCAUCAAACAUCACACCAGAAUUUUCAAAUCCCUGGAUUCCAAAGUCAUCACAAAAUUGGAAAGAACACUGUAAAAGAAACAGAUUUGGAGAGAAAGCUGUCUUCUCGCUGAAGCAUUUUCUGUGGUAAAUGCUAAUGGGAGGACAGAGACAGCUACGAAGUGAAAGCAAGCAGAUUGAAGCCACUCCGAGAAAAAAAGUGGGUGUCAUCUCUGUUUAACAGAAGAGGAAGCCAGGACUCACAGCCAUUAUGUGAUCUGAACUGAAAACUAUGCAACAAACCCAGAAAUGUCUAUACCAGAAGCUAUGGAGCAUUGCUGUGAUGGAUGAUGAAAUUGUUUGCUCAUUACUAAGAAUAACAAGGAAGAUUCAAGCACAAAUACGAAUGAAAUAUGAAAACAGCAACAAAGACCUGCUGGCCAAAAACACUUUCUUUAGCU